UACAGAGGGUGCGAACGUUGUUCGGAAUUACUGGGCGUAAAGGGCGCGUAGGCGGCCUGUUAAGUCGAACGUGAAAUCCCCGGGCUCAACCCGGGAACUGCGUCCGAUACUGGCAGGCUUGAAUUCGGGAGAGGGAUGUGGAAUUCCAGGUGUAGCGGUGAAAUGCGUAGAUAUCUGGAGGAACACCGGUGGCGAAGGCGGCAUCCUGGACCGAAAUUGACGCUGAUGCGCGAAAGCCAGGGGAGCAAACGGG
rnacentral:rRNA from 1 species